GAUGAACGCUGGCGGCGUGCCUAAUACAUGCAAGUCGAGCGAACGGACGAGAAGCUUGCUUCUCUGAUGUUAGCGGCGGACGGGUGAGUAACACGUGGAUAACCUACCUAUAAGACUGGGAUAACUUCGGGAAACCGGAGCUAAUACCGGAUAAUAUUUUGAACCGCAUGGUUCAAAAGUGAAAGACGGUCUUGCUGUCACUUAUAGAUGGAUCCGCGCUGCAUUAGCUAGUUGGUAAGGUAACGGCUUACCAAGGCAACGAUGCAUAGCCGACCUGAGAGGGUGAUCGGCCACACUGGAACUGAGACACGGUCCAGACUCCUACGGGAGGCAGCAGUAGGGAAUCUUCCGCAAUGGGCGAAAGCCUGACGGAGCAACGCCGCGUGAGUGAUGAAGGUCUUCGGAUCGUAAAACUCUGUUAUUAGGGAAGAACAUAUGUGUAAGUAACUGUGCACAUCUUGACGGUACCUAAUCAGAAAGCCACGGCUAACUACGUGCCAGCAGCCGCGGUAAUACGUAGGUGGCAAGCGUUAUCCGGAAUUAUUGGGGCGUAAAGCGCGCGUAGGCGGUUUUUUAAGUCUGAUGUGAAAGCCCACGGCUCAACCGUGGAGGGUCAUUGGAAACUGGAAAACUUGAGUGCAGAAGAGGAAAGUGGAAUUCCAUGUGUAGCGGUGAAAUGCGCAGAGAUAUGGAGGAACACCAGUGGCGAAGGCGACUUUCUGGUCUGUAACUGACGCUGAUGUGCGAAAGCGUGGGGAUCAAACAGGAUUAGAUACCCUGGUAGUCCACGCCGUAAACGAUGAGUGCUAAGUGUUAGGGGGUUUCCGCCCCUUAGUGCUGCAGCUAACGCAUUAAGCACUCCGCCUGGGGAGUACGACCGCAAGGUUGAAACUCAAAGGAAUUGACGGGGACCCGCACAAGCGGUGGAGCAUGUGGUUUAAUUCGAAGCAACGCGAAGAACCUUACCAAAUCUUGACAUCCUUUGACAACUCUAGAGAUAGAGCCUUCCCCUUCGGGGGACAAAGUGACAGGUGGUGCAUGGUUGUCGUCAGCUCGUGUCGUGAGAUGUUGGGUUAAGUCCCGCAACGAGCGCAACCCUUAAGCUUAGUUGCCAUCAUUAAGUUGGGCACUCUAAGUUGACUGCCGGUGACAAACCGGAGGAAGGUGGGGAUGACGUCAAAUCAUCAUGCCCCUUAUGAUUUGGGCUACACACGUGCUACAAUGGACAAUACAAAGGGCAGCGAAACCGCGAGGUCAAGCAAAUCCCAUAAAGUUGUUCUCAGUUCGGAUUGUAGUCUGCAACUCGACUACAUGAAGCUGGAACCGCUAGUAAUCGUAGAUCAGCAUGCUACGGUGAAUACGUUCCCGGGUCU
rnacentral:rRNA from 1 species